rnacentral:rRNA from 1 species
GACGAACGCUGGCGGCGUGCCUAAUACAUGCAAGUAGAACGCACAGUUUAUACCGUAGCUUGCUACACCAUAGACUGUGAGUUGCGAACGGGUGAGUAACGCGUAGGUAACCUGCCUGGUAGCGGGGGAUAACUAUUGUAAACUAUAGCUAAUACCGCAUAAUAUUAAUUAUUGCAUGAUAAUUAAUUGAAGGGUGCAAUUGCACCACUACCUGAUGUACCUGCGUUGUAUUAGCUAGUAGGUGAGGUAACGGCUCACCUAAGCGACGAUACAUAGCCGAACUGAGGAGGUGGAUGGCCAAACUGGGAACGAGACACGGCCCAGACACCUAAGGGAGGCAGCAGUAGGGAAUCUUCGGCAAAGGACGAAAGUCUGGCCGAGGAAAGACGGGUGAGUGAAGAAGGGUUUCGGAUCGGAAAAACCUGUUGUAAGGGAAGAACGGGUGUGAGAGUGAAAAGUUCACAUUGUGACGGUAUCUUACCAGAAAGCGACGGCUAACUACGUG